GACGAACUCUGACCCGUGCUUAACACAUGCAAGUCGAACGAUGACGGAGGAGCUUGCUCCUCCUGAUUAGUGGCGAACGGGUGAGUAAUACGUGAGCAAUGUGCCCUUGACUCUGGGAUAAGCGCUGGAAACGGCGUCUAAUACCGGAUACGACGAUCGGAGGCAUCUCCUGGUCGUGGAAAGAACUUCGGUCAAGGAUCAGCUCACGGCCUAUCAGUUAGUUGGUGAGGUAAUGGCUCACCAAGACGACGACGGGUAGCCGGCCUGAGAGGGUGACCGGCCACACUGGGACUGAGACACGGCCCAGACUCCUACGGGAGGCAGCAGUGGGGAAAAUUGCACAAUGGGCGCAAGCCUGAUGCAGCAACGCCGCGUGAGGGACGAAGGCCUUCGGGUUGUAAACCUCUUUUAGCAGGGAAGAAGCGAAAGUGACGGUACCUGCAGAAAAAGCACCGGCUAACUACGUGCCAGCAGCCGCGGUAAUACGUAGGGUGCAAGCGUUGUCCGGAAUUAUUGGGCGUAAAGAGCUCGUAGGCGGUUUGUCACGUCUGCUGUGAAAACCCGAGGCUCAACCUCGGGCUUGCAGUGGGUACGGGCAGACUAGAGUGCGGUAGGAGAGAUUGGAAUUCCUGGUGUAGCGGUGGAAUGCGCAGAUAUCACGAGGGACACCGAUGGCGAAGGCAGAUCUCUGGGCCGUAACUGACGCUGAGGAGCGAAAGCAUGGGGA
rnacentral:rRNA from 1 species